GAUGAAGAACGUAGCGAAAUGCGAUAAGUAAUGUGAAUUGCAGAAUUCAGUGAAUCAUCGAAUCUUUGAACGCACAUUGCGCCCCCUGGUAUUCCGGGGGGCAUGCCUGUUCGAGCGUCAUUUCACCACUCAAGCCUCGCUUGGUAUUGGGCAUCGCGGUCCGCCGCGCGCCUCAAAUCGACCGGCUGGGUCUUCUGUCCCCUAAGCGUUGUGGAAACUAUUCGCUAAAGGGUGUUCGGGAGGCUACGCCGUAAAACAACCCCAUUUCUAUGGUUGACCUCGGAUCAGGUAGGGAUACCCGCUGAACUUAAGCAUAUCAAUAAGCGGAGGA
rnacentral:misc_RNA from 1 species